CGCAAGCUUGACCGAGCGACGCCGCGUGCGGGAUGAAGGCCUUCGGGUUGUAAACCGCGAAAGUAGGGAGGAAAUUUGCUAGGGGUUCUCCCCUAGUAUUGACCUAUCUUCAGUAAGGACGGGCUAAGUUCGUGCCAGCAGCCGCGGUAAUACGAACCGUCCAAACGUUUAUUCGGAUUUAUUGGGCUUAAAGGGUAUGUAGGCGGCCCUUCAAGUCGGGUGUGAAAGCCCUCGGCUCAACCGAGGAACUGCGCCCGAUACUGUGGGGCUUGAGGGAGACAGAGGUAAGCGGAACUGAUGGUGGAGCGGUGAAAUGCGUUGACAUCAUCAGGAACACCAGUGGCGAAAGCGGCUUACUGGGUCUCUUCUGACGCUGAGAUACGAAAGCUAGGGGAGCGAACGGGAUUAGAUACCCCGGUAGUCCUAGCUGUAAACGAUGAGCACUUGAUCGUGGGGCCCCCCAUAGCCUCUCGGUCGCAGCGAAAGUGGUAAGUGCUCCGCCUGGGGAGUAUGGUCGCAAGGCUG
rnacentral:rRNA from 1 species